ensembl:lncRNA
GCAUCUACCAGGGUCUCCAUCCUUUGCUCCUGUACCUGCAAAGGAAAGGCCAUGUCGUCUUGAAGCUGGGCUUGUUCUGAAAACCCCUCCUGUGCUUCCUGGUGUCACACAGCACGUCGGUUCAGAUCCUGAGAAAAAAGUUGUUAACAUCCUCAGCAGCAGCCUAAGGAAGCUCCAAGAGACAGCAGAGAUUCAGCUUUUACUCCAUCCGAGCCUGCUGAACACAUAUGGGGAAGUCUAUUUCUUUCCCAAGGGGAAAAGAU